rnacentral:rRNA from 1 species
CAUGAAGUCGGAAUUGCUAGUAAUCGCGGAUCAGCAUGCCGCGGUGAAUACGUUCCGGGCCUUGUACACACCGCCCGUCACACCAUGGGAGUCGGUAACACCCGAAGCCUGUAGUCUAACCGCAAGGAGGACGCAGUCGAAGGUGGGAUUGAUGACUGGGGUGAAGUCGUAACAAGGUACC